rnacentral:rRNA from 1 species
UACGUAGGGGCCUAGCGUUGUCCGGAUUUAUUGGGCGUAAAGAGCUCGUAGGCGGCUUGUCGCGUCGUCCGUGAAAACCCAUGGCUCAACUGUGGGCUUGCGGUCGAUACGGGCAGGCUGGAGUUCGGUAGGGGAGACUGGAAUUCCUGGUGUAGCGGUGAAAUGCGCAGAUAUCAGGAGGAACACCGGUGGCGAAGGCGGGACUCUGGGCCGAUACUGACGCUGAGGAGCGAAAGCGUGGGGAGCGAACAGG